CAACCCUCAAGCUCUGCUUGGUGUUGGGCCACGCCCCCGCGGCCGGCCCCAAAGCUAGUGGCGGUGCCGUCUGGCUCUGAGCGUAGUACAUCUCUCGCUCUAGGGCCCGGCGGUUGCUUGCCAGAACCCACACUCUUAU
rnacentral:misc_RNA from 1 species